rnacentral:lncRNA from 1 species
UCCUACAGUGAAUAUAUUAGCCUCGUUUAUUGUGGUCCAGAAUUUUACGUGGUUCCCAAACUCUCUGAAGCAAACAUCUGCAUAAGCUGUAAAGUCUUUUCUGCGGAAAUAUAAAAAAGUAGGUGUUAGUAGUUUUCCGGUCAUUUUUCUUCUUCUAGAAUUAUGUAAAAAAAACGAAGGUAGGUAAACGCCAGUUUGAUUAGCCUUUACAUAAUUCUGCGGUUGAGCCAUCCUCCAUAUUCAUCCUCGAGUUGCUGAGGAUGAUCGUAAUGGUACAGUGUAACAUGUGGUUCAAUU